CCGGCCCAGGCGCAGUGCAACAGGGGCAAUUGUCCAGGGCCCAAAGUUGAAUGGGGCACCCAAAAAACAAAAUCCAAAUAAUUAGGUAUAAAAAAAAAUUUGUCCAAACCCAAAAUAAAGGCUAUAGGCGAUAACUUGUCCAGGUUUUGGGGAUUAAAAAUCAAUAUAACAUAAAGGGUAUCUGAAGGGGACAAGUCGUCCAGGUUUUGGGCAUGGAGGAGAGGCAUAAGAUUCAAGUUUUUCAAAGGGAGCUCCCUCUCUGCUUGGAGCUUGUCACCCAACUGCCCAAGCCCAAGCUAUUGAGAGGUGCAAGUAGCAGAUUUCAGAUGCAACCGCAAAUUACCUGCAUGGACAAUCUAAGUGUUCUGAGCAGACUUCAAGUGAGGGGCAUGUUUUUGAGGAAUUCAUUCCAUUAACACGGAUUUCAUACAACUCCAGAUGCACCACUCGAAGAGGGUAAUGGCAGGAGGAGCAAGUUAAAGGCUAUAGUGAUGGAGAUGAAGAGAAAUGGGGUGCUUUUCAGCCUUUCCAAAGG